CCCAGUGUUCAGACUACCUGUUCAGGAGGUUAAUGUUGUACAGUAGUCUGCACAUUGGUUA
rnacentral:pre_miRNA from 1 species